UACGAAGGGGGCUAGCGUUGCUCGGAAUCACUGGGCGUAAAGGGUGCGUAGGCGGGUUUUUAAGUCAGGGGUGAAAUCCUGGAGCUCAACUCCAGAACUGCCUUUGAUACUGAAGAUCUUGAGUCCGGGAGAGGUAAGUGGAACUGCGAGUGUAGAGGUGAAAUUCGUAGAUAUUCGCAAGAACACCAGUGGCGAAGGCGGCUCACUGGCCCGGUACUGACGCUGAGGCACGAAAGCGUGGGGAGCAAACAGG
rnacentral:rRNA from 1 species